UACGUAGGGUGCAAGCGUUGUCCGGAAUUAUUGGGCGUAAAGAGCUCGUAGGCGGUCUGUCGCGUCGGCUGUGAAAACUCGGGGCUCAACUCCGAGCUUGCAGUCGAUACGGGCAGGCUAGAGUUCGGCAGGGGGAGACUGGAAUUCCUGGUGUAGCGGUGAAAUGCGCAGAUAUCAGGAGGAACACCGGUGGCGAAGGCGGGUCUCUGGGCAUUAACUGACGCUGAGGAGCGAAAGCAUGGGGAGCGAACAGG
rnacentral:rRNA from 1 species